UCAAACUUGGUCAUUUAGAGGAAGUAAAAGUCGUAACAAGGUUUCCGUAGGUGAACCUGCGGAAGGAUCAUUAUCGAGUUCGGGUCUUAGGACCCAACUUCCAACCCUUGCUUACCAGUCCAUGUUGCUUUGGCAGCGUCAAAACCUGCCAGAGAUCUUUGCAAACUCAGCUAUUUAAAACCUGAAGUCUGAAGAAAACAAAAAAUCGCACAAAACUUUCAACAACGGAUCUCUUGGUUCUGGCAUCGAUGAAGAACGCAGC
rnacentral:misc_RNA from 1 species